GGAGCAUCCAUGAGUACAGUGGCGUACGGGUGAGUAACACGUGGGUAAUCUACCUCUUUGUGUGGAAUAACCCUGGGAAACCGGGGCUAAUACCGCAUAAGCUCGAGAGAGGAAAGCAGCAAUGCGCUGAGAGAGGAGCCCGCGGCCGAUUAGCUAGUCGGCAGGGUAAAAGCCUACCAAGGCAAAGAUCGGUAGCCGGCCUGAGAGGGCACACGGCCACACUGGCACUGAAACACGGGCCAGACUCCUACGGGAGGCAGCAGUGGGGAAUCUUGCACAAUGGGGGAAACCCUGAUGCAGCGACGCCGCGUGAGCGAUGAAGCCCUUCGGGGUGUAAAGCUCUUUCGGCAGGGAAGAUGAUGACGGUACCUGCAGAAGCAGCUGCGGCUAACUACGUGCCAGCAGCCGCGGUAAUACGUAGGCAGCAAGCGUUGUUCGGAGUUACUGGGCGUAAAGGGUGUGUAGGCGGUCUUCUAAGUUUGGUGUGAAAUCUCCCGGCUCAACUGGGAGGGUGCGCCGAAUACUGAAAGACUAGAGUGCGGGAGAGGAUAGUGGAAUUCCUGGUGUAGCGGUGAAAUGCGUAGAUAUCAGGAGGAACACCGGUGGUGUAGACGGCUAUCUGGACCGUAACUGACGCUGAGACACGAAAGCGUGGGUAGCAAACAAGAUUAGAUACCCUGGUAGUCCACGCCCUAAACGAUGCAUAUUUGGU
rnacentral:rRNA from 1 species